UACGAAGGGGGCUAGCGUUGCUCGGAAUCACUGGGCGUAAAGCGCACGUAGGCGGAUUGUUAAGUCAGGGGUGAAAUCCUGGAGCUCAACUCCAGAACUGCCUUUGAUACUGACGGUCUUGAGUUCGGGAGAGGUGAGUGGGAACUGCGAGUGUAGAGGUGAAAUUCGUAGAUAUUCGCAAGAACACCAGUGGCGAAGGCGGACUCACUGGCCCGAUACUGACGCUGAGGU
rnacentral:rRNA from 1 species